UCGGAUGUUUAUACAGAUGUCCUAUUUUUAUCUUAAAUUAAUUUUUUUUUAAAGUAUCUUUAAUGUUACAAAUUUAAAGUCAAUUGUGUCCCCUCCCGUUAAAAAAAAUUCAACUAAACAAACGGACGUGCUAGACGAUUAACACGUGGCGAAAGUAAAAUUUAAUAAUUACUUUUUUUUUCUUUUCUGUUUCUUUUCUCUCUCUUCUCUCUCUUCUCUUCUCUUCCUUUCUUCUUCCUCUUUUCUCUAUUUUAGAACAGAGGAAGAAGACGAAGCCAGCUCUAGCUCCGACUACCCCAACAACUCUCUUGCCAUAACCGCAUCCGAUACAAUCCCCACCGAUCGCCCCUCUUCAAGCCUACAAAUCUCCGCCGAGCCAUCCUAAAAGCGUGGAGAGUUUGGGACGGAAGAGGCGGCCAAAGUAGGACUUGUCGCAACAACAAAUGGGGACUUAUUUUAAUGCAGUCGAGCACCGGGGCUUUACCGUCGAGUCACGGAUCAAUUCAUGCGAAUUUUUGGAAUUCUUCUACCCCUUUGAAAAUUAGGUUAAUUUAAACAAAAUAUUGUUUUAGUUUUGUUCAGAAUUGUUUUGAAGUACUAAGUUAAAUAAGAUUAAUUGGAUUCGGUAAAAUGGGGAUUUCUUGAAGUUUUUGAAGUUCAAAAUAUGUUCUUGUGCAAAGUCUAAUUGGUUAUUUGUAUCUCACUACUCUGUUUAUGGAAUUAUUUUAGUAGUUCACAAUCCUUUAUUCUUGAAUUGCACUCGUCUCUCUCAUAUACAUAAAAAAUUACCCUACUGAUAUUGGUUGGUAAUCUAGUUUCAAUCUUUUACUGAACCUCCCCCCUCCCUAUAGUAUUGUGUUCUUUUAAAUAAUAAUAAAUAGUUGGAUUAGGCUAAUUUGGAGGUUCUUGAUAUUUAAAGGUUUUUAUUAAUUAAUUAAUUUAUCUUUUCUCCUGAACAUUUUCUUUGGAAACAAAGAAUGUUAUUGGAAUAAACAGUGGAGCUAAAUAUCUGUUUAAUUAUGUAAUGCAGUGAAUAUGGUUUGCAUUUCAGUUCGAUGGUUG
rnacentral:lncRNA from 1 species